GAUGAACGCUAGCGGCAGGCUUAACACAUGCAAGUCGAGGGGUAUAGGUAGCUUGCUAUCUAGAGACCGGCGCACGGGUGCGUAACGCGUAUGCAAUCUACCUUUUACAGGGGAAUAGCCCAGAGAAAUUUGGAUUAAUGCCCCAUAGUAUAUUUGAAUGGCAUCAUUUGAUUAUUAAAGAUUUAUCGGUAAAAAGAUGA
rnacentral:rRNA from 1 species